rnacentral:rRNA from 1 species
CCUACGGGAGGCAGCAGUGGGGAAUAUUGCACAAUGGGCGGAACCCUGAUGCAGCAACGCCGCGUGGGUGAUGAAGUACUUCGGUAUGUAAAGCCCUGUCAGCAGGGAAGAAAAUGACGGUACCUGAUCAAGAAGCACCGGCUAACUACGUGCAAGCAGCCGCGGUAAUACGUAGGGCGCAAGCGUUAUUCGGAUUUACUGGGUGGAAAGGGAGGGUAGGCGGCAAGGCAAGUCUGGAGUGAAAGCCCGUGGCUCAACCACGGGACAGCUUUGGAAACUGUCUUGCUGGAGUGCGGGAGGGGUAAGCGGAAUUCCUGGUGUAGCGGUGAAAUGCGUAGAUAUUAGGAGGAACACCGGUGGCGAAGGCGGCUUACUGGACUGUAACUGACGUUGAGGCUCGAAGGCGUGGGGAGCAAACAGGAUUAGAUACCCGAGUAGUC